rnacentral:rRNA from 1 species
GAUGAACGCUAGCGACAGGCCUAACACAUGCAAGUCGUGGGGCAGCACAUGCGUAGCAAUACAAUGGUGGCGACCGGCGCACGGGUGAGUAACACGUAUGCAACCUACCUGUAAGAGGGGAAUAACCCGGAGAAAUUCGGACUAACACCGCAUAAUACCUCGAAGCUGCAUGGCUUUGAGGUUAAAUAUUUAUAGCUUACAGAUGGGCAUGCGUAACAUUAGAUAGUUGGUGAGGUAACGGCUCACCAAGUCAACGAUGUUUAGGGGUUCUGAGAGGAAGGUCCCCCACACUGGUACUGAGACACGGACCAGACUCCUACGGGAGGCAGCAGUGAGGAAUAUUGGUCAAUGGGCGAGAGCUUGAACCAGCCAAGUCGCGUGAAGGAAGAAGGUUCUAUGGAUUGUAAACUUCUUUUGUAAGGGAAUAAAAAAGCUUACGUGUAGGCUAUUGUAUGUACUUUACGAAUAAGGAUCGGCUAACUCCGUGCCAGCCGCCGCCGUAA